UAGGGAAUCUUCGGCAAUGGACGAAAGUCUGACCGAGCAACGCCGCGUGAGUGAAGAAGGUUUUCGGAUCGUAAAACUCUGUUGUUAGAGAAGAACAAGGACGUUAGUAACUGAACGUCCCCUGACGGUAUCUAACCAGAAAGCCACGGCUAACUACGUGCCAGCAGCCGCGGUAAUACGUAGGUGGCAAGCGUUGUCCGGAUUUAUUGGGCGUAAAGCGAGCGCAGGCGGUUUCUUAAGUCUGAUGUGAAAGCCCCCGGCUCAACCGGGGAGGGUCAUUGGAAACUGGGAGGCUUGAGUACAGAAGAGGAGAGUGGAAUUCCAUGUGUAGCGGUGAAAUGCGUAGAUAUAUGGAAGAACACCAGUGGCGAAGGCGGCUCUCUGGUCUGUAACUGACGCUGAGGCUCGAAAGCGUGGGGAGCAAACAGG
rnacentral:rRNA from 1 species